AUCCGACCGUAGUCUUAGGUAAAACCUAUCUGUAAGGGUUUGACAAGCCUAGAUAGGUACUUAACCUCUAAAUCGAUAAGCCGUCAGUGUCCGAUGGGGUACUGAUUGUGAUGACGAUAGUAAGUCAGCAGGUGGAAACACUUUGUGCGUGGGUUAGGUAGCCUCAUAUACAUGAACGACUGAUGUAGAGUUCGGUUGGGGAGAUAAGUAUCUAAUGCGUGUCAUUAGGUCACCUCGGUAUGAUUAGUGUGAGAGCUAGGAACCGUAGGGGUGUUCUCAAAGGAAUCCUUUGCAGUGACGUCCUCGCAAGAGGACUAUAACAACAGAACUCGUAUUAGUAGCCUAAUACUGCAGCCCCUUGGGGUUUGUUGUCCAUAUAGUUUAAGAUGGAAACAUUGAAUCAAGACAUAUUUACUCUUGUUAGGUGAAAGUUGGUGGUUGCCAUGCCAGCCCGUACAUCCGAGAAGGACUCUAUGUAGUAGGAAGUCGAGAGCCUAUGAGAGUUAGAGUCGGUACGAAACAUCUAUUGUCUGCAGUGUAUAUUGGGUAGAGCUAAAAACUCUUACCUAUUUUAUUAAG
rnacentral:ncRNA from 1 species